UUCAAUUUAUAUAGAAUUCUUUAAAAAACGCAGAAUAAUCUUAAAGACAGAAAACAGAUCCAUGUCUGCCUGGGGAGGGUGCAGAGAAAGGGUGGAUCCCAGGAAACCUUCAGGGGGAUGGAACCAUUCAGGGGAUGGAAAUGUUUGCUGCCCUGACCGGUGACCGUUUCAACAGGGGUGGGGGCGGGGGUGUGAACACCCAACAAGCCUUACACUUUAAACAGCACAGUUCCUUGUACCGCAACGACACCUCAACGAAGUUAUAAAAAGUACAUCUAAUGCACUAGAAUAGUCUUCAAAGGACAGGGUGAACCUUUCUCCGAAUGACUGGGGUGACCAUAUAGUUUUAUCAUCCAAGCCAGGAAAUUUGUGCAAGUCAAAGUGAGUGCUAAAAAUAAUUAACGGGUGUUAUCUCAUCUACAACAGGGUGUAGUGCCCUGCACAAAACAGCGCUUAGGGCUUUGGGAACAACAAAUACCCAAUCUAUCCCUCGGUGCGAUUAGAUACUUGUUACAUAAAGCAAACCGCAACGUUCACUCCUCAGAAGACAGCCAGAGCUGGCAACGGCCAGCUGGAAAGCAGUCACGGAAAUGGUGCUGGUCUUCAGUGUCACGCAGGACAGAUGCCAAGGCUCCCGCCUCAAGGGCACGGUUAUCCUCACACGGUCAUUUCAGGGCAAUCAUUAGGAUGACACUAGGAGCAAAGCCUGCUGGAUCAAUCCCCAUCCCAGCAAGCCGUGCGGUGUGGAAACAUGACCAGGCAGAGGUGCACCACGAUACUUCGGGGAAGCCAGGCACGUGACACGCUCACCAGAGAUUCUGGGAAUCAGGACACAGUACAGCCCCAACCAUGAUCCAUCUGAAAUGAGGUAGACAGAAGCCGAGGAAGCUGUGAACCAGAACCAAGCCCGAAUCAAAUAGAUCAGGCAACAAAAAGGACACAAGACAGAGCGAAGGCUGCCCUCUCAAGGAGAACUGCACCCUCUCUCGGGCAGGGGGCUCAGCACAGGGGCUGCUCUGCAAGGGAGACCACACUCAUUUUCCCAAACGUCCCUCCUGCAGCCUACGAUGCUUGUUCUAGCCAUACCAUCUGCAUGAACACCUGAACACAUUCUGAGCCCCCAGUGCUACAGAGCGAGGAAAUAGAGUUUAAAUGAUCAACUUUGCCACAUCUACAGAUGAAAUGUCUCCACCUACACAAGUGAUCGUUACAGACCCAUGAUGUGGAAGGGCUUACGAUGAAAAUGUAAAGUUACACACACGCUGCUCUGCGUAUAACAUGGGAAAAGCAGCAUACGCCCCCGGCAAAAGCCUGAAGGGACUCGGAGAAAGAGAAGAGCUGCUGAACUGUGACCUUUCCUCCCCUCACUUUAAAUCUCCUCUAGAACCAUUAUUAUGAUGUAAGCACUUGCACAAUAAGGGGGUAAGCUGCCUGCACGGGUUCCGGUCCCAGGACGCUCCUGGGGCCCGCCCCCCAGCCCACUCACUCGCCCCUUCUCAGUGGCCAGUCCAGCCCCCGGGCCCACAGAGAUCUGCCCCACGCUCGCACUGUGUUCUGCCCCUUCUGCUGUUACACCUGUCACGGGACACUAUAAUCACUUCUAACGUCUAGACACUUUUCACGUCUAACAGGCUGUGAGAAGUCCCUGAGUGCAGGGGACAUGUUUAUCCACGUCCGUCUGCCCUCAGGCACUGGGCAGAGAGAGUACCUCCACGCUGGAUGCUUGAAAGAAGGAAAAACAAGUCUGUCCAAAACCUG